rnacentral:rRNA from 1 species
UACGAAUGGGGCAAGCGUUGUUCGGAAUAACUGGGCUUAAAGCGUGCGUAGGCGGCCAAGCAAGUCAGGAGUGAAAUCCCCGGGCUCAACCCGGGAAUUGCUUUUGAAACUGCAUGGCUAGAAUCCGGUAGAGGUUAGCAGAAUUCCCAGUGUAGAGGUGAAAUUCGCAGAUAUUGGGAGGAAUACCAGUGGCGUAGGCGGCUAACUGGACCGGUUUUGACGCUGAGGUACGAAAGCGUGGGGAGCAAACAGG